AACGAACGCUGGCGGCGUGUUUAAGACAUGCAAGUCGCACGGGAUAAGACAUGUAGUAAUACUUGUUUUAUUUAGUGGCGCACGGGUGAGUAACACGUGAAUUACAUGCCCUAUAGUGGGGAAUAGCCCAGGGAAACUUGGAUUAAUACCCCAUGGUAUCGAAAGAUUAAAGGUGGCCGCAAGGCUGUCGCUAUAGGAUUGGUUCGCGCCCUAUCAGCUUGUUGGUGAGGUAACGGCUCACCAAGGCAAUGACGAGUACCUGGUCUGAGAGGACGAUCAGGCACACUGGAACUGAGAAACGUGCCAGACACCUACGGGUGGAAGCAGUCGAGAAUAAUUCACAAUGGGGGCAACCCUGAUGGUGCAACGCCGCGUGGAGGAUGACGGUCUUCGGAUUGUAAACUCCUGUCAUCUGGGAGAAAGACCUGACGGUAAAUAGCCGGCAGGGUUGAUAGUACCAGAAGAGGAAGGGACGGCUAACUUCGUGCCAGCCGCCGCAGUAA
rnacentral:rRNA from 1 species